GAACUCUUCAAUUUGGAGGUAAAAUCACGGUAACGUCUAGAUUCUACACACUUGGUAAAGCCGGAAACGUAAAUAUACGUCAACAUUCAUGCAUUUGUUCAUGAAACAUACACAGGAACUGCUAUUAGUUGAUUAAAAAUAUUUGAGUUGUCACUAAAUAUAGUCGUAUAUUUAGUGCGGUAAAGACUUGUUGCACAAUAAACACGUAGCAAUUGUUUACAAACACUUUCUACAUUUACACGUGAUCAUGUUAUAAGCGCUUUUUGAUUGGAUGCAGCGAGC
rnacentral:lncRNA from 1 species